CAGAGAAUAAUUUAAAUGAUUAUAAAAUGUUAAAUUUGGAGUUUAAAAUUGAAAAUAUUUCUUCUUUGA
rnacentral:tRNA from 1 species